CGAGGAAUGCCGAUUUUGGGCCAAUAGUGAGCCUUAAUAUUCCAAUAUCAGGAUGUUGUGUUUAUACACCUGUGAAUUUUGGGCCUUCUUUUGAGAUGGAUUUGGAGAAGCUUAAGUGUGGUUCUUAUUCUGGGUUUUAUAGCUUUAAUGGAAGAGAAACAGAUGCUGAGAGCUGGAAAUAUGGAAUUGCUAUUAAGUAUAAAUUUGCAAUUGAUAAUGUCUAUCCAAGUUGGUGUUCGAGUUGUGAACAGAGUGGUGGGGUUUGUGGGUAUUCAGGUCCCGUUGGUUCGUUUAUAUGUAAUUGUCCUCCUGGAUUUAAUACAACUACUAAUUGUUUCUUUGGAGCUUCUUUCAAUGGCGUUUCUAAGUUUCUUCCAUUCCAACUUCCAUGUCAUUGACGAAAAAAAAUAGCAAUCUGCUUGCCAUGGUUCUGAUGCCUCAAAAGUUUGCCAUCUGCUUUACGCUUGGAUGUUGCUUCAUCAUUGGAUCCUUUUUUGCUCUCAAGGGUCCGAAGAAUCAGCUUGCACAUAUGUUCUCAAAAGAGAGACUUCCUUUUAUAGUGAUCUUUAUUGGUAGUAUGUUGGGCACCUUAUAUGUUUCCAUGGGCCUCCACAGCUAUAUUCUGUCAGUUUUCUUCUCUGUAUUACAGGU